rfam:Cladophialophora yegresii CBS 114405 aczIN-supercont1.2, whole genome shotgun sequence.
CGCUCCCCAUCCGCUGCGUUCUCUGCUACAAACAACGAGGUGCUCCUGUUGUCUCAACAGUUGAGCCCUUGUUCUGCUCUUGCAGAUGAGAAAUUCGGAGUAAUCUUCAAAAGUCCACCUCUGCCCCGGAUCAUUCUCGAUCUAAGGCACAUGGUACCGCCCGCGAGGGCCCGGCACGAUUUCGUGCUCGCGACCGGCAUCAGAAAUUUACAGGGCCUCAAGGCCAACACUCUCGUAGUGUUCGUGUCUUGGGGGAUUCCCUAUGGAAGAGCCGUCGCGAAGAUUGUUUGGGCGCGAAAGCGUACCUCACUUUAGUGCAAUCGCAGCGGAAAUCUAGCAUUCCAUUAUCUUGGAUGGCUCGGUUUCAAUUCGAUUCCGAUUACUCUGGGGAGCG